UGGACAGGUCAGCUUAGAAGAGAUGGG
rnacentral:piRNA from 1 species